GUUGAGGCCUGUCCCGACAGACCUUUCUCUGUAGGUCUGAGUCGUUGGAAAUGCCUCAAAGAGUAAAUCUGUUGUCUCGCUUUACCCACGUGUUCACCACAAUGGGCAUGCUGGGAUAUCACUGCAGAACAAAU